ACGACCUUACUUGAACAGGAUUUGUUCUAUAGUCUCGUACCGCUGUAUCCUUGAUUUCUAAGGAGACAGGAAACAAGUCUAGUGGAUGAAUCAUGACCAUUAGACUAGAGCGUGAUUAACAGCCAACCAUGGCCUUCUUCGGGUUAUGGUGCCGUAGAUGAUCGUUCUCAACUACGAUCAUGGAGCUUGGGAUGGUCUAAUGGCUGUCUGACAAACU
rfam:Solanum tuberosum cultivar DM 1-3 516 R44 scf00227_44, whole genome shotgun sequence.